AAUGGGAAAUGAGAUUCGUGGGAAGUCAUUGCCUGUGUGUGAUAGGAAGUCACUACCUUGGAAGAUCCCGAGCAGUGCUCCGCUCCUUCCAAGCUCAGCUCCAGUGAGGCUGCUGCCAACUUCCAGCAUUGCUGAGCACCUGCCGAGUGCCAGGCAUUCGCUCACUGGAUCCUUAGGACAGCCUCACCAGAGCCAACCGUAAACACACAGACUCGUAGCCCUCCCGUGAAACUACGUCUCUUUCGCACGUCUCCGUCUCGGCAAUCCUGAAAGAAGCCUAAAUGUGACCAACGGUGAACACUGACAGGUUGGCGGCCAGCCCCUUCGUCCAGAAUUGCAUCCUCGGACCCUCGUGGGAGUCCCACGACCAGGCCACACAACCCUGCCAUCCUCAGCGCCCCUCGCCUCAGCUGAGCCCACCAGAAUCCCUUCCCCAGGAAUUUGGAUCUGAGACCGCCAUGUGGAAGGUAAACCGAGGCAAGCAAAGAAUGAAGCAGAUGCACAGGUGGACGGGCUGCCCUCCUGGGGUCGCUGGUUCUUCUG